rnacentral:rRNA from 1 species
GAAACACGGACCAAGGAGUCUAGCAUGUGCGCGAGUCAUUGGGACUCUAAUAAACCUAAAGGCGUAAUGAAAGUAAAAGUCCGCCUUGUGCGGACUUAGGGAGGAUGGGACCGUUCUCGUGACGGACCCCGCACUCCCGGGGCGUCUCGUUCUCAUCGCGAGAAGAGGCGCACCUAGAGCGUACACGCUGGGACCCGAAAGAUGGUGAACUAUGCCUGGUCAGGACGAAGUCAGGGGAAACCCUGAUGGAGGUCCGUAGCGAUUCUGACGUGCAAAUCGAUCGUCGGAACUGGGUAUAGGGGCGAAAGACUAAUCGAACCUUCUAGUAGCUGG